rnacentral:lncRNA from 10 species
UCUUUUCCUAUUUGAAUACAUUUCUUUCUGUUGCCUGGUUGUGCUGGCCAGAACUUCCAGUACUAUGUUGAAUACGAGUGGUGAGAGAAGCCAUCCUUGUCUUGUGCUGGUUUUCAAGGGGAAUGCUUCCAUCUUUUGCCCAUUCAGGAUGAUACUGGCUGUACAUUUGUUAUAUAUAUUAUAUUGAGCAAAUAGGGGGUCCAGAGAACGAAGAGAGAUAUAAGGGUAUAGUGGUCAGUGGAGCAGUCAAAAGAUACACAUCAUCAAUUCAGUUCACUCUUUUAUAUGGAUGUGGGUCAUGGCAUCCCAAAACAAUUUUAUUAGGAACAUCAAAGAUCACUGAUUACAUAUGACCAUUGUGAUGCUUAAUAUUGAAUGUCAAAUUGAUUGGAUUGAAGGAUGCAGAGUAUUGUUCCUGGGUGUGUCUGUGAGGGUGUUGAAAAGGAGAUUAACAUGUGAGUCAGUGGGAUGAGAGAGGCAGACCCACCCUCAAUCUGCGUGGGCACCCUCUAAUCAGCUGCCAAGGUGGCUAGGAUAAAAGGAGGCAGAAGAACGUGGGAGGACGGGACUGGCUGAAUCUUCGGCCUUCGUCUUUCUGCCAUGCUGGAUGCUUCCUGCCCUUGAACAUCAGACUCCAAAUUCUUCAGCUUUUGGACUCGUAGACCUACACCAGUGGUUUGCCAGGGACUCUAGGACCUUCAGCCACAGACUGAAGGCUGCACUGUCGGCUUCCCUACUUUGGAGAUUUUGGGACUCGGACUGUCUGCCUUGCUCCUCAGCUUGCAGAUAACCUAUUGUGGGAUUUACCUUGAGAUCAUGUGAGUCAAUAGUCUUUAAUAAACACCUUUUCAUAUACACAUCUAUCCUUUUAGUCCUGUCCUUCUAGAGAACCCUGGCUAAUAGAAUCAUAACAGAAAAUAAUACUGAAAAAAUAAAAUUUUGUGCCAAUUACUAGUAAGUGACAAAAACGUGAUGUGAGCAUGUGCUGUUGGAAAAAUGUUACCACUGGACUUGCUUGACACAGGUUUGCCACAAACUUUCAAUUUGAAAAAUCACAAAAACUGUGAAACACAAUAAAAUGAGAUAUGCCUGUACAUAUAAUCCUAUUUUCUUUAUUCAUGAAUCAUUUGAUGGACUCAGGUUUUUUCUAAAUAUUGGCUAUUGUGAAUAAUGCUAUGAAUAUUGGAGAGCUGCUGCUUCUGUGAGAUAGUGAUAUCAUUUCCUUUGGAAAAUGCAUAUACAUAUAUAUAUAUAUGUAGUGUUUACUAAUUGUAGGAUUAAUUGACAAAGUAAAAUACAGGGGACCUUGUGCGGUCCAUGAUACAAUGUGCUUUUUGUCAAAUGAAUAGGUUAUUUUUGUUUGAGGAAAGUCACAGAGUGCCAAAAAAGGCAUAUGCGAUGUCACUUAUCAUAGUGAUAUAUAUUUUAAAAUAUAUUUAGCUGCGAUCAUAAACAUAAAAUACUACCAAUGUUUCUAUAAAAAUAACACAUUUUCAAUGUAUAAUAUUAAGUAAGGAACUGAGGUCACUGAUUAAAUCUCAAGAAAUGUUGUUUCUGAUUUAUAUGUUUCAUAUAAUUUUUCUAAAUGUUA